UGAAACAGUAUAACCCCAUUUGACCUUUUGACCCUUGGUCAGGACUGGUCAAUGCCGGCCAAUUUAAAAUCCACAGGUUUUGACAACUCAUUGUGAAAACCUUCGGUUUGAUGAACGUAAGUCCCUGGGAGCUUUUAACUUCCAUAAAGUACUGAGAAAAUACAUAUUUAACUUUCAAAAUAUCUUAAAAAAGCCUUAAUAAAAACUUUACACCCGGACCGAAAAACAAUUUACAAAAUAGUUUUAGCCUCCGGUAAACAGAUAUUGGGUUUCCAUUAUAGUAUUUCGCAAUAUUGCAUCAGCCGGUUACGACUAGUUUUAUCAAUACACAUAACAUUCUUUACUGUUUUAAGUAUUAUAACGAAAAAAGUGGAAUUUAAACAACUGAAAUGUAUUCAAGAAUUCUACAAAGAUAUUAUUAGCCAGGCGAAUUACAACGUGAAAAAUCCAAGACUUUAUAAAGACAACGAACGUUUAACACAAAAUAUAUCAUCGGAAGACUUCAAGAAAAGAAUGUUAACCAUAACAUGGUUGAAUAUCAUAAUAUUUUCAUGUUGUUAGAAUCACUCAACCGUUUGAGUAUGCCAUACUCAUACGCAUGGUUGAAUAUCAUAAUACUUUCAUGUUGUUAGAAUCACUCAACCGUUUGAGUAUGUCAUAGGCAUAUGCAUGAUUGAAUAUCAUAAUACUUUUAUGUUAUGAAAAUCACUCAACCAUAGGAUUAUACCAUAAUCAUACACAUGACUUAAUGUUAUGAUAUUUUGAUGUUGUUGAAAUCACUCAACCGUUUGAGUAUGCCAUAGGCAUAUGCAUGAUUGAAUAUACGCUUUU